GAUGAACGCUGGCGGCGUGCCUAAUACAUGCAAGUCGAGCGAACGGACGAGAAGCUUGCUUCUCUGAUGUUAGCGGCGGACGGGUGAGUAACACGUGGAUAACCUACCUAUAAGACUGGGAUAACUUCGGGAAACCGGAGCUGAUACCGGAUAAUAUUUUGAACCGCAUGGUUCAAAAGUGAAAGACGGUCUUGCUGUCACUUAUAGAUGGAUCCGCGCUGCAUUAGCUAGUUGGUAAGGUAACGGUUUACCAAGGCAACGAUGCAUAGCCGACCUGAGAGGGUGAUCGGCCACACUGGAACUGAGACACGGUCCAGACUCCUACGGGAGGCAGCAGUAGGGAAUCUUCCGCAAUGGGCGAAAGCCUGACGGAGCAACGCCGCGUGAGUGAUGAAGGUCUUCGGAUCGUAAAACUCUGUUAUUAGGGAAGAACAUAUGUGUAAGUAACUGUGCACAUCUUGACGGUACCUAAUCAGAAAGCCACGGCUAACUACGUGCCAGCAGCCGCGGUAAUACGUAGGUGGCAAGCGUUAUCCGGAAUUAUUGGGCGUAAAGCGCGCGUAGGCGGUUUUUUAAGUCUGAUGUGAAAGCCCACGGCUCAACCGUGGAGGGUCAUUGGAAACUGGAAAACUUGAGUGCAGAAGAGGAAAGUGGAAUUCCAUGUGUAGCGGUGAAAUGCGCAGAGAUAUGGAGGAACACCAGUGGCGAAGGCGACUUUCUGGUCUGUAACUGACGCUGAUGUGCGAAAGCGUGGGGAUCAAACAGGAUUAGAUACCCUGGUAGUCCACGCCGUAAACGAUGAGUGCUAAGUGUUAGGGGGUUUCCGCCCCUUAGUGCUGCAGCUAACGCAUUAAGCACUCCGCCUGGGGAGUACGACCGCAAGGUUGAAACUCAAAGGAAUUGACGGGGACCCGCACAAGCGGUGGAGCAUGUGGUUUAAUUCGAAGCAACGCGAAGAACCUUACCAAAUCUUGACAUCCUUUGACAACUCUAGAGAUAGAGCUUUCCCCUUCGGGGGACAAAGUGACAGGUGGUGCAUGGUUGUCGUCAGCUCGUGUCGUGAGAUGUUGGGUUAAGUCCCGCAACGAGCGCAACCCUUAAGCUUAGUUGCCAUCAUUAAGUUGGGCACUCUAAGUUGACUGCCUGUGACAAACCGGAGGAAGGUGGGGAUGACGUCAAAUCAUCAUGCCCCUUAUGAUUUGGGCUACACACGUGCUACAAUGGACAAUACAAAGGGCAGCGAAACCGUGAGGUCAAGCAAAUCCCAUAAAGUUGUUCUCAGUUCGGAUUGUAGUCUGCAACUCGACUACAUGAAGCUGGAAUCGCUAGUAAUCGUAGAUCAGCAUGCUACGGUGAAUACGUUCCCGGGUCU
rnacentral:rRNA from 1 species